UGAGGUACGACCAUGCAGAGUUCUUAAUUAUUCACUGUUUACAUCACGUGAUCUCAUUUGUGUAUAAAUACCGAGACUCCGCAGUCGUCUGUGUCAUUCUGAUAGAAGACCCAGCCAAGUAGAGAGGACGAGAGUAUGUGUACUAAUAAAGUAUUCACGGUAAACAAUUCCUAGCCUGUUCUUACAGUUAGAGAGUGAAUUUGGAAGGCCAUCAGAAGUCUGGCCUGCCACGAAGAGGUUGACCUCCAGUAAAGAGGCUAGCCAUAGUUCGUUUUGGGUGUCGUCCGCAUUGGCUGAACAGACCGUCGUCCAGGCCGCUAUACUCAUUAUCCGUCCUGAAUAAGGCACCCUACAAAUUCCUUACUCCGACAUAGAAUAGUUGAAAAACAAAAAGGGGUCCCGAAAGUGUUUUGUUGCUGUGACUGACUCGCCUGGAGAAAGUCAGCACGUAGGCUACCAAGCAUCAGCCUGAGGACCUGUGCAGGUUGAAGUGGGUUUCGAGUCAACAAGUUCAAUAGCAAGAAAGGUACUAUAUUUUCUUAAGAUAAUUUUCUUCAUUUUAACACCAUAUAAGAUAUUUUUCAAUAUCU